GGGCGGUGCUCUUCAUCCACACACUUCCUGAAAAUGGGCUCGGAAGAGAGUUUGGACACGAAAGGAGCUUUGGUAUCUUUACCAAAACACUCAUACUGGUUUGACUUUUGGCUGUUUGUGAUGUUUGACAUCGCAUUUUUCCUCGUUAUGUAUUUCAUAGUUCCCUAGCUAAAAUGGAGUGACUUGGAAUUCUACACUUGAAAUGCUGCCCCCUUUAACCAUGACCCCCUGUUGCCUGAAAUGAUCGAUCUUUAAAAAGGAGUGUUUACACCACUGAAGUAUAAGGUUUACACGCCUCGACCAGAUUGGUGUUCAAAUUAUAUUGGAUGUCUUCCUUUGUUAGGCCUAUGUUUUGUUUUUAACUGCCCACAUUUUGGCAUUAUAUGGAAUAUUUACCAGUAUUUGUCAGUAUGUCCAGAAAAUAGCAAAAUUGUGAGACCAUAACAUUUGAAUAUGCCUGUUGUUUAAAUCAAGACAAUGAUUUGUGGCAGUCUGACUAUUUAAAAUGUGAAACUCAACUUCAAGACAACACCUCAUUCUGGAUAAAAGUGACUGCUAAAUGACUGCAACGUCACAAGAACUGCAGGUUAACAUGAUGUAGCUAGUGGAAUAAAGUGUGCUCUCUCUAAAAUGUGUAUUUCUGAUUUGGAUAUGAGACAAAUGAGAGAAGGCGACUUGAUUGAGCCACCUAAACAUGAUGAUUGGAACAAGAUUACAGCAAUAAGGGGAAAGAGAUGUAUUCCCGAUCUCUUGAACAAAGAUCCUACUGAAACUGCAUCGGCAUAAACCACAGGUCUGUAAGUCUGUUGUCUGGAAUAAAAGUGAUGUACACUAUGAUAUAAACUUAUGUAAAUUCCUAAAUAAACAUGUUUUUUUUUUGUCACAUUCUCA